rnacentral:snRNA from 1 species
GGAUGUGAGGGCGAUCUGUGAUACCCAUUGAUCGCCAGGGGUGAUUAGGCUGAUCUGGCUGGCUAGGCGGGUGUCCCCCUGGCUAGGCGGGUGUCCCCCUGGCUAGGUAGGUGUCCCACUCCUCCCUCACCGAUCCAUGUGCAUCUCUUCCAAGCUGCGCACUUGGUCGGAGAGGGCGGUCUUCAGUCAAGGGUAUAUGAGUAGCUGUGCUCCCCUGCUAGAAUCUCCAAACAAGCUCUCAAAUCUCAGUGCCAGCCCUGUACUAACUGUACAACAUCAGGUGAGAUAUGAGCCCCAAUUUUGUCUGU